rnacentral:piRNA from 1 species
AAAUAGAGUAGAUUAUCACAAAUGAACAGCUAAUCAGCUACGUGAACAAUGAACAUGCCCUAAAGGUAAUGUACGACCGUAAUUUCCUAUCAAUGAAUAUUGCCAAAAUUACUCCAUUGUUGGCGUGUAAAACUUUCAUUUGUACUCAAUUUAUGACUUUGUGAAACUUCAAUUAUACAGAGCUUGCCUCUAUAAAAAUCGUUGAAAUACACUCAUGGACAAAACUUAAGGAAAUGUAGUCUUUGAUAUCGUCGGUCGUCUAUAUAUAUAUAUUUUUUGAAGGUGACAUAGGUAAUUUUAUUCACACUUGGUUAUCUCGUGUGUCUUCAAUAAAGGUCACUGUGAUAUCUUUCAGAGUUAUUGUCUGAAUCCUUAUAUACAUGCUGAAACUUCCUUAAGUUUGGUCUAUGAGUAUAACAUUAAUGGUAUAUAGAAGUAAUUACUCAUUUGAUGGAAUACAGAAUUCAGUUACUUCUGUAUCUUAUUUUCUGUUUCAUUUUCUCGUUUUCGGAUUUUGGAUGGAAAAUCUGAAGUUCAAAGACUUUUGUGUGAAGAAUAUAGAGGGUCUCCGUACAAGUUACAUAGGAAGGAUACCCUAAUUUACAUAUACUGAUAACAACUAGCAUUGAAGUACACCAAACUUACCUGUAUCCAUUUUUCUUAGAUAUUGAAUAGCGGUCAUCUUGAUCUGUACGUUCUCUUUGGUGUAGCUCCCUCCAUCUGCUUGUGGAUCAUUAGGAUGCUACUUGUAUGGUCCAUAGGAAGUCUGGAAACACCGAAAAUAUUCGUUUAUUUUAUACUUAUCCCAAGUACAUAUAGCCAUUAUAAUCAGUGUGAGUAGAGAACUGUAAGAACAGAUAUAUGUAGGAAGAAAGCAGUUGGCACUUAUAAAAUGCCAAGAAACCGUUUGGUUGCUUGCACUCACCGGUCGAAGAUUAAACUUAUGCCUCAGUCGAGGACCAUUGAAGCAUUCUCUUGAAAAGAAAAGAAAAAAAAAAGAGUGUCAGAUGCUGGAUUCGAACUCAGGUUGUUGUCGACAGUGUGUACCAGCAGAAUACUCCAUCAAAUUCCCCAAUACAGGUUAAAUAACCAAAUACAAUAGGUCUGGCAUAUACUCAUGGACAAAACUUAGGAAGUUGUACCUUUUACCAUGUAUAACGGUAUUCAGACAAUAACUCUGAAAGAUAUUACAGUGAAAUUUAUUGAAGAUACAUGAGAUAACCAACUGUGAGCUUUUUGCCUCUGUCUCCUUCAAAAAAAAAAAAAAAAGGUCACUAGCGACAUCAAAGAAGUUACACUUCCUUCAGGUUUUGUCCAUGAGAGUAGAUUAAACUGGCGAAGACACUGGGAAGGUUUACAAUUGAUGAGCCAGACCCUCAUAAAAUUUUUAAUUUUAAUUGAAUAUAGAGGAACCCCUCUAGAAUUCCAACCACUCAGGUUGAUCUGUUUUUGCAUGGUUUUCCCACUAUGUACUAAGUGUUAAACUGCAACCUCAAACAACAUCAUUGACUGUAAUGACUCAUCCAUUGAUAAGCUCUACCAAUCCCCAAUACAGACACUAUAAAAAACCUCAAGUUUUACAGGCUUGAUACCCUGAUAUGAUUGUUGAGUGGAGAAAAGAAAGAAGAUGAGAGGAGUCCUACAGUAUUGGGAUAAACGGCGCCUCACUGCGUCACCAGAAUAUUUGGGUCAACCGCCAAAAAUAAAAAAAAAUGGAUGACCAGAGACAUAAUGACUUUUGUCAAGCCAUUUCCUGAUAAUUGAAACGUCCUUCGUUUUAUAAGAGCUAACGUUUCCAGUUCGCAGCUUCCAAUCUCCACAAGAUUUCAACAUGUACACGACCAGUAUAAUUGGGUUACACCACUAGUCGACCAUAUGUCCUGUCUUCUAUAAACGGAUGUUUCGGAGAACUGAGAGUCAACUACCCCGUUAGCGGUCACUGUUUCGGUCCUACUCAUGGUCCAACUCAGAUGAGUAUAAAAUCUUGUGAAUUUGAAUAUCUGGGGAUAGAUAUGAGGGGUAUCCCCACGCCAGUUGUUCCCAGGGUGGUCCUCAGACCUCUUUUUUUCAACCAGUGAUGAGCCAAGCCCUACCACUAUUUUACCAUCGCAGUAAGGACAAAUAUAAAAAGUUGUUUUAUUUAAAAAAAAAGAGACCAUUCACGCUAAUUAGUUCCCUUCUUGAAUAUCAAGAUGGCACGAUACUCGGAGAUGUAAAUUUGAAAGAUUCGGACCAAUGUUAUGGAAAGGGAAAUGUACAGAAUGGAGGCACACAUUGCUCCAGGUUACGUAAGGAUGUCAUUCGAGAGGAAGGACACUUGACACCAGGCCGUGUCAAGUCAGGGCUACGCAUGCAAGGCCGUUCGCUUGAAUGGGGCAUUCUAAAUUUCGCACAUGUGCUUGUCGUGGACACGCGUCAUAGGUGCGCAGAGACGUGGGUGGCCAACUUGUUUGACAAGGCCGGCUGCGCUAUACAUAUAUGGCUCGUUGAUUUGCAUAGUAAUUUCGUUGACAGUCGGGGAAUAUAUUUGCAUAGAGUAUUUAGACAAUUUGACAAUAUAAACAAUUAUAUUGAUUCUUUCAAUCAAAUUUUACAAUGUUGGAUAAAUAAAAUAGUAAAAUGGCAUAUAAAGUGUAGGGGAAUAUAUAUACAAAUAUCUUCAGCAAGGAAGGUCUCCCCACCUUGAGUAUGAGUAUUUAGAUAGAUAAAAUUCCUUUUUACACAAAUUAAUCAUAGCCACCGAAGUUCUCACAUAGUGAGAUCCAAAUUUCCCAAAUACCUUAAUUUUAUAACAUAACGCACGCACUUAUCCAAUAUUUUUACUUCUCGUUGUCCGCAAAACACAAUAACAAUUUUCACAUUCCAUUGCCCAAAUCACAGUACCUACAUUUUUUAGAUAUAUUUGUUCAAAUUACACUAACGAAAUGUUCACAUAACGUUUCACAAGUCCCAAUAUCCAAAAUUUCAACAUUCACUUGUCGAAAUACCAACUUUUUUUAGCAUAACGACACUCAAAUUUCCCAAAUCACUCUACCAGAAUAUUUCACAUUGGGAUGUCCCUAUUUACACACAUGCCAAGACUACAGCCACUCCAACACCUACACAUGACCCACAUAGGUCCUCCCACGGUUCACACUCCCGCUCACAUCAAAGCUGUCACUAUUUCCUCACCUUCUACAAGCUGCAGCUUUUACCUGACUCUCACAGUAACGGGUCAACAUUCCGCCACGCCGCAGCGAUGAAGAAGGAUUGGAGAGACACAGACCAUAGAGAUAGGCACCAGGGGACAGUAGAAGGCAGGUAGAAACGGAAUCACAGUUGGAGAGGGCACUCCGCCUUUGCUGGUCCCAAGCCCGGAUGAAAAAGGAAGAGGGGGGGGAGCAAUAACAAGCUCACUAGAAAACAUGGGCUCAGCUGGUCGGCUAAUAGUACCCUGUAAGGGCUCCAGGGAUACAGGAUGUACUCCAUGUUAGGAGCGGAUGCACAUGGCGUCUGUUCCUCAUGUCAGAGGUUGCCAUUUCAUAUUGGAGCUAAGUCGGCCUGCUACUGAGUAGUGCUUCCAGUCGUUAUGACAAAGACAAACGCAUUCUACUUCACCCAAUGUCAAGCUCUACAAGCUUGAUACCCUAAUGUGAUUGAGUGGAGAUAAGAACGAAGAGAAGAAGAAAGCGCCAGUAUAGACUCCGAGGAAGUCUGAUAUUAUCCAAAAAGGUCGGUGUCAGAGUUCACUCCACAUACCCGAAUUAGUUAGGAGGAGGCUCACAUCCCUCCACUAAAUAUAAGAAAACGUGGCCCCAACUUGGAGCACAAGGCAAGCAGCAGCCUCAAGUCGGCGUAAAUCUGCCACCCAAGGCCACCCACGUAUGGAAAUGGGCACGCUCACUUCCUGGCCACGCCUACGGUGGCCCACGCGAGUAUUGGCCUCUUGUCCGGCCUUUUUUACUCUCUUUUAUUUCUUCUUCCCUACCGUAAUAUAACUUAAUCACGACAACAUAGACGAUUUUUCUGGAAUAUAUUCCAGUUUUCCUAUAGAUUAGUGUGUCUAUUGGAGAUUGAUCAAGUUGGGCCAUACCAUUCACAAGAGUCUGUCAUUCAUACAGAUGCUGUAAUAUAUAAGAUUUAAGGUUUAAAAAUAUUGUGAAAAGUAUUGAAAUUGCAACGAAUUUUUCACAAUGAUUAUAUAUACACUCAUGGACAAAACUUAAGGAAGUUGUACCUUUUAGCAUGUAUAUCAGGAUUCAGAUAAUAACUCUGAAAGAUAUUACAGUGACCUUUAUUGAAGACACACGAGAUAACCAAGUGUGAACAAAAUUGCCUCUGUCUUCUUUAAAAAAAAAAAAAAAAAAACACAUGACCGGCGAUAUUAAAGACUUUCCACUUCCUUAAGUUUUGUCCAUGAGUGUAAUACAUAUUUACAUAUAUUCAUAUAUAUAUUAUAAUCUAUAUCAUAAACCUUAUAUGUGAGAGCCUAGAGAAAGAGUAUCCAGGCAGAAGAAGAAGAAAGAAGAAAGAGAGGAUGAAGAAUGUAAAGAUUUGGAGUCAUCUUACCAGACAGCAUUAGAGUGUUAACUACUCCUUUAAUACUGUCAGGUAAAGAUGUGCCCAAAUCCUAUUGACUACACAGCCGGGGAAGUCUACAAGGUAAGUACACAAUUUCUGAAUAACUCCCUCUCUCUCUGUUCGCUUCCUGCGAUCUGAAGGUCUGGCAGACUCUUCGGCCUACAUCCUGAGAUAAUCACAAGUGUGGAGACCAUCUACACGUACCAAAACCAGGGUAUACAGGUUAGCUUUUUGUGUGAAGUUACCAAAACUGGUUUUGUUACUCAUUCUUUAUCAUCACUGGUGAAAUUUUAACUAGAGUGAUGUACAGUGCCAUCGUUUUAAUUAACAAUUAAAGGGAGAGGUGCCUCUUUUGGUAUAUAUAUAUAUGUAGUGAUACAUAUACCAUCUUUGUCUUUAACUGGGGAAUACCAACCAUCACAUCGACCUGCCCACUCUGUUGGAAACAACUCUCGCAGUCCAUCGAUGGCAGAGUCUUUCCAGCUGUGGACGCCACCAAUGAAGACUGUAUGUAAAUAUAAAUAUUCAUUACCAUGAGAGGUACCUCUCCCUUUAUUUAUGCACAGAACGAUACAUUAUGUUCAUCUAUACUAGUUAAAAAAUGUACUAGUGGUAAUGAAGAAUGAGCCGCAUAACACCAGUUUUGGCAAAUUCAGACAAAAACCAACCUGUAUACCUUGGUUUCGGGCUGUAAUCCUCAUCAGUACAGGGGCGACUGGAUUUUCCGAAACUGGUGUUGGGGCUAAUUCUUCAUUACCCCAACAGUAAAGUUGUUUUACUAGAGUGAUAAAUAUAUCGUGUUCUGAUGUACCUCGCUUACCUCGCUUUGCGUCGGGGUUACGUUCCAAAAAAAAAAAAAAACACGACGCAAAUUGAAACGACGCAUAGUGAAAAUAAAAUUUUGAUGGCAUGGCGCAAUCAAAAACAAAGGUGUUACCAUAUUUUAGGGAAAAAAAAUCUAAAAAAAUUAAAGACUCGAAUCCAAAAACAACGCAACUUCGAAAAUCUAACGACGCACAGUGAAAAUCAGUAAAAAUUAAGCAGCGACGCAACUUCGAAAAAAACGCAAAACGAAACGACGCAAAGCAAGGUAUUGGUGUAUAUAUAAAGGGACUCUCAUGGUAAUGAAUCCUCCCACAACUUUAAGUUAUAUAUAUUGUAGCUAAGCAUUUAUUUUACACUAGUAUUAACAGAGUAUCGUUUUUUAUGUUUAUAUUUUGCUACUCUGUAAACUUCCCUCAUUGCUUAUCUUUUGUUUUAUCCUUCAUAGUUUGUUCUUACUUUUUGAAAUUUAUAUGUUGAGUUUGUAAUUAUUCUUGUUUUUUUUAAUUCAUAGAAGCAUUUUUCUGGCAGACAUAUUCAAUUUUUUUUAUCAUCAUCAUUUUAAAUUAUUGUUUUUUUCCUCUUUGUUAGUUAUCAAAUCAUUUGCAAUUGUAGUUUCUUUUUGUUGUGUUCCUUUUUAAGCAAUAAAAUAUAUAUAGAACUAAGGUGUAAUAUUCAAUUCAAGCAUAUGCAACCAACAUCGAUUCAUUUUUUAAAACAAAGCAAAAUUAUAAGCUUAUACAACUUUCACUUUUUCAUACACUUACCUGAAAUAAAUUGCUGUGUCAUCCCGAAGUUUGUCUUCCCUAAUUUUCCACGUGGCAAUAUAAAUAUAUUUAUCAAUUGCUUUAUAUAUAUCCACACAACACAUAUGUGAAAAAAAUCAUAUAAUCUUGUUUAUAGUUGGGAGUUUUUAGGAGGAAGGGGAUUUGUUUUAUAAAAAUAAAGGUUGCCUCUCCCUUCAAAAUAGACCCUAAAACCACUUCUCAGUUUACCAAAGCUGGUGUUGUGGCUUUGUCAUCGACCUGAGUCUGCUAGUUUGUAGAGACAAUCAAUAGAUGGUAGCUAGUUCUAGCGUCUAUUUUGACGGGAGAGGCAGCCUUUUAAUAAAAUCUUGUUUAUAUCUUGAAUUUAACAUUAUAUAACCUUAUAGACAAUAUAAAUGAUAACUACAAUCUAACUAUGUA